rnacentral:rRNA from 1 species
GACGAACGCUGGCGGCGUGCUUAACACAUGCAAGUCGAACGGAAAGGCCCUGCUUUUGUGGGGUGCUCGAGUGGCGAACGGGUGAGUAACACGUGAGUAACCUGCCCUUGACUUUGGGAUAACUUCAGGAAACUGGGGCUAAUACCGGAUAGGAGCUCCUGCUGCAUGGUGGGGGUUGGAAAGUUUCGGCGGUUGGGGAUGGACUCGCGGCUUAUCAGCUUGUUGGUGGGGUAGUGGCUUACCAAGGCUUUGACGGGUAGCCGGCCUGAGAGGGUGACCGGCCACAUUGGGACUGAGAUACGGCCCAGAAUCCUACGGGAGGCAGCAGUGGGGAAUAUUGCACAAUGGGCGGAAGCCUGAUGCAGCAACGCCGCGUGCGGGAUGACGGCCUUCGGGUUGUGAACCGCUUUCGACUGUGACGAAGCGUGAGUGACGGUAAUGGGUAAAGAAGCACCGGCUAACUACGUG